GAUGAACGCUGGCGGCGUGCCUAAUACAUGCAAGUCGAGCGAAUGGAUUAAGAGCUUGCUCUUAUGAAGUUAGCGGCGGACGGGUGAGUAACACGUGGGUAACCUGCCCAUAAGACUGGGAUAACUCCGGGGAACCGGGGCUAAUACCGGAUAACAUUUUGAACCGCAUGGUUCGAAAUUGAAAGGCGGCUUCGGCUGUCACUUAUGGAUGGACCCGCGUCGCAUUAGCUAGUUGGUGAGGUAACGGCUCACCAAGGCAACGAUGCGUAACCGACCUGGGAGGGUGAUCGGCCACACUGAGACUGAGACACGGCCCAGACUCCUACGGGAGGAAGCAGUAGGGAAUCUUCCGCAAUGGACGAAAGUCUGACGGAGCAACGCCGCGUGAGUGAUGAAGGCUUUCGGGUCGUAAAACUCUGUUGUUAGGGAAGAACAAGUGCUAGUUGAAUAAGCUGGCACCUUGACGGUACCUAACCAGAAAGCCACGGCUAACUACGUGCCAGCAGCCGCCGUAA
rnacentral:rRNA from 1 species